rnacentral:rRNA from 1 species
AUGGCUAGUGACACUAAUGAUUUGGAAGACAGUGAAGGGAUGUACCGCGACGAUGAUCUAGAUGAAACCUUUGCUUCGCAAAGCCAGUUUGAAGAAGGACAAACUCAGUUUCUUGAUGUAGGUGGUGGAGACCCACAGUUUGAUGUCAAAAAAUUUCUGAACAACUUGCGGAAUUUGUUUUACUCAUCAAAUUACAAUGCCAAUUCUUGUAAAGGUCCCUACUUUAUUGGUCAGCGUGCCCCGCUUCCUCCAAAGAAGGCAACGAGCAGGUGUAAUCAUGGAUAUUUCAGUGAUCUGCUCAAGAAAAUUCCACCAUCAAGAUUAGAUGUCAUUAAAACUUAUGGUUGCUCUUUUAUUCUUGAUUUUGAGUGCAAUUCUGUACCAAGAGGUUUUGCCCAAUGGAUAGCAGGGAAAGUAAAUCCACCUACUGGUGACAUAGUUCUUGACAACAAAGUGAUUCCAAUGAGCCCUGGAUCAUUUCAUCUACUCCUUGGUCUUCCAUUAGGUGGCACCUCAGUUUUAUUUGACAGUGAGGUGACUAAAGCAGCUUUCCUCGAUAUUAUUGGUGAACCUACAUUGCCUUCUAUCAAGUGGUUUGGGAUGAGAAUGCUCAAGCAUGACAUUUCUGAUAUUGAUUUUCUGAGAUGUUUUCUCCUAGUUGCCUUUGCAACUGUUUUGUGCCCCAACUCAAAUAUCUACCCCAGCACAAAAUAUCUAGGGAUUCUUAUUGAUCCAACUCAAGUUACAAACUAUGAUUUAUCAAAGUUUGUUUUGAUUGGCUUAUAUCAUACAUAA